GGCAGAAUGGCCGAGCGGUCUAAGGCGUGUGACUCAAGCGAAGGCAAUAUUACGUAAUCCGCUUGCCCGAUAAGGGUUUCUCAUCAUCGUAUGAUGGCAGGGGUUCGAAUCCCCUUUCUGUCA